AGCCCCGUGGUGUAAAAACAUGUUGGAUUGCAAAUCCAGAGACGUAGAUUAAUAGUCUGCCGGGGCUU
rnacentral:tRNA from 3 species